rnacentral:rRNA from 1 species
UACGUAGGGUGCAAGCGUUGUCCGGAUUUACUGGGCGUAAAGAGCGCGCAGGCGGUCGGAUAAGUCGAAUGUGAAAGCCCCCGGCUCAACUGGGGAGGGUCAUUCGAUACUGUUCGACUCGAAGGCAGGAGAGGGAAGUGGAAUUCCCGGUGUAGUGGUGAAAUGCGUAGAUAUCGGGAGGAACACCGGUGGCGAAGGCGGUUCUCUGGGCCUUACCUGACGCUGAGGAGCGAAAGCGUGGGGAGCGAACAGG